GGACAUUAUGGCAUUUCCUCAAAUGUGAACUUCAUAAAGAAACAAAUUCCAAACUCACAGCUCUUGGAAUGGGUAGAAUGAUUUUUCAAUUUUAACUUUGAAGUCAAACAUAUCAAAGGCAAAUCUAAUAUCUUAGUCGAUUUAUUCUCCAGAACAAUACCUCACAUUCAAUUACAGAUUGCUAUCAUCCGAUGCUCAAUCCGCCCUCAACUAUAUCCUCACAAAAUCCUCCAAUCUAAAAUUUAUCUCUUGAACUUCAAAACCUGAUGAGGAACAGGACAAUCCAUUCAAGAUCAAAAGUGUAAUGAUCCAAUCUCUGCGUCGAAGCCGUUCACUUUCAAUUAGUACCAGGACUCAACUUAAAUCUCUCUUAAGGAAAGGUCAUGUGUUCGAAUCCUGGGAAUAUGAUAGAAAUCUGUAAGGGAAUAAGAUGGACUCAAGCUUUCCUAUAGUGGACAGUGCAUAAAGCUUCGACACAAAGCCUGGGUUGUUACAAAAGAACUCAUGCUGAAAUACCAAUACAUGGUUGUCAGACAAUAUGUCAGAAUUCAACCAAACAAUAUCUUUAAAAAUUUAGAACAUUCCGAAAGAAAAAUGACAGAAUUCAACCAAAUAAUACAUUCAAAAAUUUUGCCUAACCAUGGAAAAUAUUGGCAAUGAACUAUGCUCCUCCUAAUGAUUAUCACCUUGACAACUUUUGAAAUCAAUUGUAUCCACGAAGGCCAACAUAAAGCUUAGGUCACACAUCCAAAUACUCAGAAAACGCCCUUGAGCUACAACAACUCAGAGAAAGGUUAUGAAAAGUGUUGAAUGAAAACAUCCUUACUAGUAUAUUCUACACUGGAAGAGACAAUCCACAGUUAAGGAGGAAAAAAUCAAAAGGAAAAGAAAAUGUAUCAUAUGAAGGUUCAAGUUGAUGCUAAUGCGAGCUAGCAACAUCCCAGCUUCAAAAUCCUCAAGAUCCCUGGUCUUACCUUUUUGACCCUUAUAAUCCAGAAAAUUUUGAAAAAUUAGAACAUUGGCUACAAGAAGAAAAUAACAAGAUGAAAAAUAUGGAAGCUGGACUAUCGUUAGAUUCUGAAAACUCAGAUGAACUAGCAAUUACCACAAAAUCUUGGUAUCUCGUGAAUCACAAAAAUCAUCCAACUAGCAUAAUAAAAGUAUUUUGUCAUUUUGUGUGAGUUUUCAAUUGUAUUGUUAAAUAAUUGAUAAAGUAUUGUUUUCUUUAUCAAAAGUUUAUACAAUAGAUUCCAUCCUUAUCAAAAGUGGCCUCUUAAUCAAAAAGCUGUUUGUUUGUUUGUAUAAUCAUUGUACUCAAAUCAUGAUGCUUUUCAAAUUCUAUAUUAUUGUGUUGUUUGUCUGAAGAUUGAAGGAGUCUCAUCCUCUAUAUAAGGAGCUAUCUUCCUUCAUUGUAGAUCAUCAAAAAAUAAAAAUAAAAUCAUCAGUUACACAAAAGCAUGAGUUUCUAAGAUUCCUCUAUUUUCCACUGGUAUCUGAAAUUCUAAUAUUAGACUUGAAUAAGUCAUGUUAUCUGCUUGAGCAGAUAAACAAGUAUGCUAUGUUGUUGCCUUUUCUGAAGAUCCUUGUCAUCAGAAAUUGUACUACAAACCAUGACGAUCACCAGGAAGAUUUACGAUCCUAAGAG
rnacentral:lncRNA from 1 species